UACAGAGGGGGCAAGCGUUGUUCGGAAUUACUGGGCGUAAAGGGCGCGUAGGCGGCCUGUUAAGUCGAACGUGAAAUCCCCGGGCUCAACCCGGGAACUGCGUCCGAUACUGGCAGGCUUGAAUUCGGGAGAGGGAUGCGGAAUUCCAGGUGUAGCGGUGAAAUGCGUAGAUAUCAGGAGGAACACCGGUGGCGAAGGCGGGUCUCUGGGCCGUAACUGACGCUGAGGAGCGAAAGCGUGGGGAGCAAACAGG
rnacentral:rRNA from 1 species